rnacentral:rRNA from 1 species
CCUACGGGUGGCAGCAGUGAGGAAUAUUGGUCAAUGGGCGCGAGCCUGAACCAGCCAAGUCGCGUGAGGGUAGACGGUUCUAUGGAUUGUAAACCUCUUUUGUCGGGGAGCAAAAAAUGCCACGCGUGGCGUUCCGAGAGUACCCUAAGAAAAAGCAUCGGCUAACUCCGUGCCAGCAGCCGCGGUAAUACGGAGGAUGCGCGCGUUAUCCGGAUUUAUUGGGUUUAAAGGGUGCGCAGGCGGAAAAUUAAGUCAGGGGGUAAAUUGAGGGGCUCAAACCCUGUAGUGCCGUUGAAACUGGUUUUCUUGAGUGAGCGAGAGGUAUGCGGAAUGCGUGGUGUAGCGGUGAAAUGCGUAGAUAUCACGCAGAACUCCGAUUGCGAAGGCAGCAUACCGGCGCUCAACUGACGCUGAUGCACGAAAGUGUGGGGAUCAAACAGGAUUAGAUACCCGAGUAGUC